rnacentral:tRNA from 1 species
GACUUGAAAGCGAUUAUCGCCCUAAGUUUCGGCCUUAGUCUUGGAAUUAUUUAUCCUCAAGUUA